rnacentral:lncRNA from 1 species
CUAAUUAUUGUUUAGCGCCUGCUCGAGACAAUUGAAAGCUUUCUGGUAGCUCAAGAACCCCAUGAACCAGAAGUCGAAGCCGUCGACCGUGACUACUUCAAGGUACUUCUGAGAUGGCUUCUUUGUGUUCAUACUCUGAUUCACUCCCUUGAUCUUGCACAGAGGGAUUGACACUUUGUAGUGAACCCUGGUGAGAUCUCCCUGAGGAGAAGCCACUUUGAUAGAUCUCUCGCUGCAGAAAGCAAUCUUCUUUGAUGAGAUGAAGAGUAAGCCUGCGAUAGGACCUGCGGUUGUUGAUAGGUAACAUUGGUAGGCCUUGAAGAGUUUCUCUUCGUCGUGGACUCUAAAGAGCCUCUUGUAGAUCUUCUCUAAGCUUCCCAUUUGAAUUAUCUUAGCUCCUAGAGAUAGCUUUCUCUUGACUGUUUCAGUUAGCUUAGGUCCUAAAUUGCUUUGAUCUUUAGUUCCAUUGGUGAAGCUAUUGGUUCGGAGAAUCGAUUUUUUCUUGCUUUGUUCAGACUUCUUGGAAGGAGAUGGGAUUUGAAGCUUGUUUAUGGAAGCUGGAUCAGGCAAGGAACCUCCAGGAGCAGUCUUGACUGCUGGUAAUGCAAGAAUUUGCUGGUGG